rnacentral:rRNA from 1 species
GGAUUAGAUACCCUGGUAGUCCAUGCUGUAAACUAUGGAUACUCGCUGUAGCUGGUAUUGACCCCGGCUGUAGCCAAGUUAACACGUUAAGUAUCCCGCCUGGGGAGUACGGUCGCAAGAUUAAAACUCAAAGGAAUUGACGGGGGCCCGCACAAGCGGUGGAUUAUGUGGUUUAAUUCGAAGCUACGCGCAAAACCUUACCUAGGCUUGACAUGCACCGGAAUAGACCUGGAAACAGGCUAGUCCCGCAAGGGACUGGUGACACAGGUGCUGCAUGGCUGUCGUCAGCUCGUGCCG